rnacentral:rRNA from 1 species
GCGAAAGCAUUCAUCAAUUACACGCCCUUUAAUCAAGAACGAAAGUUAGAGUAGCAAAGGCCAUUAGAUGCAGCUGUAGUUUUAACCAUAAACGAUGACAUUUCAGGAUAUCAUUGAUAAUUUUGUUUUUCUGCGUUGUGGGCUUGCCCAUUUCACAGAAUGCUUAUACAGAUUAUGUUCAUUGAGGAUUAGAUUGGGUAACCAAUCCCUCGUGUAGACCAAUGGUGCACUGUGUGGGAAACCAUUAAAAUGUGUGCGUGGAGUUUAUAGUAGCAAUGCCGAAAUUUAAAAGAAUUGACGGAAGUAUCACCACCAGGAGUGGAUCGUGCGGCUUAAUUUGACUCAACGCGGGAAAUCUUACCAGGUCAGGACACCGUGAGGAAAGACAGACUGCAGCUCUUUCCUGAUUCUGUGCUUUGUUAUAUGUAGUGCAUGGCCUUUGGGAAGUGAGUGGAUUG